GAUGAACGCUGGCGGCGUGCUUAACACAUGCAAGUCGAACGGUGAACACGGAGCUUGCUCUGUGGGAUCAGUGGCGAACGGGUGAGUAACACGUGAGCAACCUGCCCCUGACUCUGGGAUAAGCGCUGGAAACGGCGUCUAAUACUGGAUAUGUGACGUGACCGCAUGGUCUGCGUUUGGAAAGAUUUUUCGGUUGGGGAUGGGCUCGCGGCCUAUCAGCUUGUUGGUGAGGUAAUGGCUCACCAAGGCGUCGACGGGUAGCCGGCCUGAGAGGGUGACCGGCCACACUGGGACUGAGAUACGGCCCAGACUCCUACGGGAGGCAGCAGUGGGGAAUAUUGCACAAUGGGCGCAAGCCUGAUGCAGCAACGCCGCGUGAGGGAUGACGGCCUUCGGGUUGUAAACCUCUUUUAGCAGGGAAGAAGCGAAAGUGACGGUACCUGCAGAAAAAGCGCCGGCUAACUACGUG
rnacentral:rRNA from 1 species